AUGACGAGUCUUGACUGCCCAGCAAAUUGGGACAAUCUUGUGAGAAGUAAUAACUUUCUUCUGAUGUACUACGACUGUGGAAAGUACGAUCCACAGGCGACUACUGAUGGUACAGACCCAGUACUGGAGCCUUUGAAGUUCCUCAGGAACUGCCCAUCACAUGCGAUGCGACAUAGCUUUUCUCGAGACGGGGUUGCAUUUUGCAGGUUUGAUCUUGCAAGAGCUCAAUAUCAGAGGUUUCCUGAGGUCAUGGUAUCAAUGCAGACGAGUUUGCAUUCGCUGGGGGAACUCCAAGCCUUGGGAACGCAAUAUCUGUUCCCUGCAAAGAUAAAAGUGACGCCCAAAGGGCCUGAAUCCUGA
rnacentral:rRNA from 1 species